rnacentral:rRNA from 1 species
UGAAUAUAGGACGUCCAACUUAACUUGGAGUCCGAACUCUCACUUUCUAACCCUGUGCACUUGUUUGGGAUAGUAACUCUCGCAAGAGAGCGAACUCCUAUUCACUUAUAAACACAAAGUCUAUGAAUGUAUUAAAUUUUAUAACAAAAUAAAACUUUCAACAACGGAUCUCUUGGCUCUCGCAUCGAUGAAGAACGCAGCGAAAUGCGAUAAGUAAUGUGAAUUGCAGAAUUCAGUGAAUCAUCGAAUCUUUGAACGCACCUUGCGCUCCAUGGUAUUCCGUGGAGCAUGCCUGUUUGAGUGUCAUGAAUACUUCAACCCUCCUCUUUCUUAAUGAUUGAAGAGGUGUUUGGUUUCUGAGCGCUGCUGGCCUUUACGGUCUAGCUCGUUCGUAAUGCAUUAGCAUCCGCAAUCGAACUUCGGAUUGACUUGGCGUAAUAGACUAUUCGCUGAGGAAUUCUAGUCUUCGGAUUAGAGCCGGGUUGGGUUAAAGGAAGCUUCUAAUCAGAAUGUCUACAUUUUAAGAUUAGAUCUCAAAUCAGGUAGGACUACCCGCUGAACUUAAGCAUAUCAAUAAGCGGAGGAAAAGAAACUAACAAGGAUUCCCCUAGUAGCGGCGAGCGAAGCGGGAAGAGCUCAAAUUUAUAAUCUGGCACCUUCGGUGUCCGAGUUGUAAUCUCUAGAAAUGUUUUCCGCGUUGGACCGCACACAAGUCUGUUGGAAUACAGCGGCAUAGUGGUGAGACCCCCGUAUAUGGUGCGGACGCCCAGCGCUUUGUGAUACAUUUUCGAAGAGUCGAGUUGUUUGGGAAUGCAGCUCAAAUUGGGUGGUAAAUUCCAUCUAAAGCUAAAUAUUGGCGAGAGACCGAUAGCGAACAAGUACCGUGAGGGAAAGAUGAAAAGCACUUUGGAAAGAGAGUUAACAGUACGUGAAAUUGUUGGAAGGGAAACGCUUGAAGUCAGACUUGCUUGCCGAGCAAUCGGUUUGCAGGCCAGCAUCAGUUUUCCGGGAUGGAUAAUGGUAGAGAGAAGGUAGCAGUUUCGGCUGUGUUAUAGCUCUCUGCUGGAUACAUCUUGGGGGACUGAGGAACGCAGUGUGCCUUUGGCGGGGGUUUCGACCUCUUCACACU